AUGCUUCCUUGCCCCUGUGGAACAUGUGUGAGCAUUAUGUUUUUCCAACAAGUUAUCCGACUGCAAGAAGUGUUAUAUGAGGACUUCAAGAUCAAAUAG
rnacentral:rRNA from 1 species